UGAAUUGUCUUUCAUCACCUCUGCCACAGGGUCCUAUCCCAUUUGCCUACAUCUCUCUCCCAUCCUUGGCUCUAAGCUCCAGGAGGACGGAAGCUCGUCUUGCCUCUGACUGCCAGCAGGUUUCCAGGGCCUGUGGACAGCUCUCAGGGGUUUUUGGAAUAGAUGAAGUCGCUGGACAAAUGGGGAGCCUCCAAGGAAGUGCAGGUCACUCUGUCACGUUUCCGAGCGUUCCACUUUGAUCCAUCCACGCUCGGCAGCCAGGUCUGCGGGAGGACAGCCCAUUCGGUGGCUUUGGGGCAUGCAAUUACUCUUCACAAGGCUGGUAAUAAGCAACACUGCCAAUUUCAUCCUCGGAGGCUUUCAGUUCCCCAUUCUCCAGGCUCUGCGCUUCUUUCCAGGCUCGCUUCCCCAUCCCCAGUGCACACAGGGCCCUCAGCCUCAACUGGCUUCUCAGAACCCGGGCGCUCUGUCUCCAGCUCUUUGACUAACUAGCUGUGCUACCCUGGGCACAUCACUUUCCCUCUCUGAGCCUCAUUUUCCUUCCUUGUCAAAUGAGAUAGGUUGGGAAACGACAGUCUAUCAUUGAAUCAAAGCCCAGGAGACAAACAGUGCCUGGCCAGUUAGGGGGACUAAGGAAGCUGGUUUAAUGCAGAGUGGAGGCCUGGAGGAGUGAGGGAACAUGGAACACGCUAUCUGAAACCCACUCCAAUCUCUCUCCCAUCUCCAGGCUUGUCGAUCUUCUAAAUGUCUGUUUUUUCUAGAGGAUAAUACAUCAUUUCCUGGAUAGGGCUGUUGUAAAUCAGAAAGGAUAACGUAUGGGACAGAGCUCCAGAAGCUGUGACACUCUAUGGUCAUGAUGCUCUCUCUAAAGCCAGCCGCACAUAGCGAUGGGGACGUCCAAGGCCCUGAAUCACCACUCACCAGGAGCAUUCCACGAACCCACUUCCCCAAGGUGUUUGCAGGAGUUACAGGGUGAGGGGCGGGGAAAGCCAGGUUCUGUGGUCAAAUCAGCUUAAGAAACGAUGGGAUGACGACGUUUAUGAGGUUUCCCUACGGAGGAGGCUGCUGCUGUAACUGGUACCAUGCCCCGCGGGUCUGAAGAGGGGAACAGACAUCUGCGAGGUUUCUCAACCCCUUUUGGCCACAGAGCCCUUUUGUGUCACAGAGCAUCAGAGGAGCAUAUUUUGGGAAAUGCCACCUUAAACCAGAGGCGCAGCAUCUCAGGGGAGGAUCCUGGGCAGGAGUGAGGCGCUUUCAGCACGUUUCCAUCCCCCCAGCCCUUCGGGAAGACAGAAGUGUGGACGCUGAGGGACAGGCCGUGCAAUGCUGAGGGGGUUACGACUUGGAGUCAGGACUCCUGGGUUGCAACCCAGCUCUGCCACCAGCUCCCUGUGUGGCCCUGGGCCAUUCUUCAGGGCUCCGUUUGCUCAUGUGUAAAAUGCAGGACAGACAGCAGGAGCAUCGGGACCAGUCAGAUACACCAGGAUCACUGCAACACAGUGUUCGCUGAGGGAAAGAAAGGGAAGAACAAGGCAGCAUGCACACGUGAUGUCACAGAGAAACACAGCAGAGCCGGCUCCCAGAUAAUCGAUUCAGGAGCAGGUCAUCUGGAACUCAAGGUUCCC
rnacentral:lncRNA from 1 species